rnacentral:rRNA from 1 species
AUGGAAAAGCCAUUAUUCGAUUGUUUUAAAAGAAUGUUGAGCCGGGCCCGGAAGAGCGGAUCCAAUACACAUAAGGCAUCGGUUGUUCUUAACAACGAUGGCUAUUCAUUUAAGUCUUCGGGUAGCACCACCAGAUCUUCAACAAGGUGGAAAUUCUCGUAUUUCGUAUGUACAUGUUCCUACGGCUCGGACGGGUAUAGUUAUUUAUAUCAUGACAGCUAUAAACAGUUCCUUGUUCCCAUUAACAAAACAUCCCCUUUUCUUUGCUCUUCCGGAACCGGUACAGAAAUUGGUGCUUUUUCUACUUUGUUUACGUUAGUGACUGGGGGGUUUCAAGGAAGGCCUAUGUGGGGUACCUUUCGGGUGUGGGAUGCUCGUUUAACUUCUGUAUUCAUCUUGUUCCUUAUUUACCUGGGUGCACUGCGUUUUCAAAAGCUUCCUAUCGAACCGGCUCCUAUUUCAAUCCGUGCUGGACCGAUCGAUAUACCAAUAAUAAAGUCUCCAGUCAACUGGUGGAAUACAUCGCAUCAACCUGGGAGCAUUAGCCGAUCUGGUACAUCAAUACAUGUUCCUAUGCCCAUUCCAAUCUUGUCUAACUUUGCUAACUUCCCCUUCUCUACCCGUAUCUUGUUCGUUCUGGAAACACGUCUUCCUAUUCCAUCUUUUCUCGAAUCUCCCUUAACGGAAGAAAUAGAAGCUCGAGAAGGAAUACCACUAAAAACCUAG